UAAGUGAUAUGGUAUUUUUUGGUGUAAGGGAACUCAUCAGCUCAGCAAAUUUAAGGUUUAAGGCAACAAGCAGAUAAUAGAUGACUUUUUUUCUUAAAACCCAGAGGAAAAACUUGCAGUUAGAACAGUUUAAGCAAAACUGGCUGUGAUCAUGAGUUAAGAUUGCAAAUGUUGGCUGAAUUUCAGGAGCUACGUGCCUUUGACUGAAGGGGAGGUUAAACUGAAAGAGUAAUAAUGGGAGUUCAGGGCGUGGAAGGGAGACCAGAACACAGACUUGGAUCCUACAUUCCUUGCACAUUUCAGAAUAACUGAUGAACAAUCAAGCCCCUAGUCUCUCUCCUAAAACUCAGCUAGUUCUGAAUAGGUAUUGUAGCUUGGCAAAACAUUUUGGAUGGGUGAGCACCUAGGCAGCCAUGAAGUCAAAGUAAAGUUCAUCUCCCCACCCUAUCAGAAGACCUGCAAAAGGCUUGUGGGCCACUUAAAUCCCAUUUAACUUCUCUAAAUAGUCUUAAUUGGGACUAAAUUGGAGCAUAAGUCUUGUGCUGGCUCUCUGCACGGGGUGAAUGUCACCAACCAUGAACCAACUGAGACAUCUUUUGAAACAGUAAGAUCAAUUCCAUACAUAGCUCAGAAUAAUUGCUUAGUCUGUUUGUCCCUGUACAGAGCACCUCAGUGUUAAGUAUAAAAUAAACCAAGGCUAUGAUUGCUGGCAAAUCAAGUAAAUCAAAGGAUUUGUAAUCUAAACCUUAAUUAGU